UCGACUGGCGAAAUUGGUAAACGCAGCAGGCUGUCAACCUGCCGAGCUUCGGCUCUUGGGGGUUCGAGUCCCCCUUCGAA
rnacentral:tRNA from 1 species